rnacentral:rRNA from 1 species
GAUGAACGCUAGCUACAGGCUUAACACAUGCAAGUCGAGGGGAAACGAUAUUGGAAGCCUGCUUCCGAUAGGCGUCGACCGGCGCACGGGUGAGUAACGCGUAUCCAACCUGCCCACCACUUGGGGAUAACCUUGCGAAAGUAAGACUAAUACCCAAUGAUAUCUCUAGAAGACAUCUGAAAGAGAUUAAAGAUUUAUCGGUGAUGGAUGGGGAUGCGUCGGAUUAGCUUGUUGGCGGGGUAACGGCCCACCAAGGCGACGAUCAGUAGGGGUUCUGAGAGGAAGGUCCCCCACAUUGGAACUGAGACACGGUCCAAACUCCUACGGGAGGCAGCAGUGAGGAAUAUUGGUCAAUGGGCGAGAGCCUGAACCAGCCAAGUAGCGUGCAGGAUGACGGCCCUAUGGGUUGUAAACUGCUUUUAUAAGGGAAUAAAGUGAGAGUCGUGACUCUUUUUGCAUGUACCUUAUGAAUAGGGACCGGCUAAUUCCGUGCCAGCCGCCGCCGUAAAAC